rnacentral:lncRNA from 1 species
CAGUUUUGAGACUAAUGAACCAUGAUCAGUUCGUUUCCAGCAACACAACAAAGCCAACAACACUGAUCAGACCGGAAAAAAAAAAUUCAUUCUAGCAGUUUUAGUGAAGCAUACAGCAAAUACCAAUCUAAGAAGAAGCUAAAAACGUGCAAAGAUGCACCAAUACUCAUGACCUAUUUUUGCAUCAAAGAAAAAAGAUGGCCAACUCCAGCAAUACCCACCAUCUUCAUCAAAUUCCCACAUAGCAAGUGUAACAAGCUAGGUAACUGCACAAGUAAAUAUAACAUCAUCAAAACA